AUUACUCCUACGGGAGGCAGCAGUAGGGAAUAUUGCACAAUGGGGGAAACCCUGAUGCAGCGACGCCGCGUGAGUGAUGAAGGCCUUCGGGCCGUAAAGCUCUGUCGUAUGGGACUAACACAAUGAAGGUACCAUGCAAGAAAGGAUCGGCUAACUUCGUGCCAGCAGCCGCGGUAAU
rnacentral:rRNA from 1 species